ACACAUGCAAGUCGAGGGGUAUAAGGAAGCUUGCUCCUUAGAGACCGGCGCACGGGUGCGUAACGCGUAUGCAAUCUGCCUUCCACAAAGGAAUAGCCCAGAGAAAUUUGGAUUAAUGCCUUAUAGCAUCACGAGAUGGCAUCAUCAUGUGAUUAAAGAUUUAUCGGUGGAAGAUGAGCAUGCGUCCCAUUAGCUAGUUGGUAAGGUAACGGCUUACCAAGGCGAUGAUGGGUAGGGGUCCUGAGAGGGAGAUCCCCCACACUGGUACUGAGACACGGACCAGACUCCUACGGGAGGCAGCAGUGAGGAAUAUUGGUCAAUGGGCGCAAGCCUGAACCAGCCAUGCCGCGUGCAGGAUGAAGCAUCUAUGGUGUGUAAACUGCUUUUAUACAGGAAGAAACACUCCCUCGUGAGGGAGCUUGACGGUACUGUAGGAAUAAGGAUCGGCUAACUCCGUGCCAGCAGCCGCGGUAAUACGGAGGAUCCAAGCGUUAUCCGGAAUCAUUGGGUUUAAAGGGUCCGUAGGCGGCCCUGUAAGUCAGUGGUGAAAUCUCCCCGCUCAACGGGGAAACGGCCAUUGAUACUGCAGGGCUUGAAUUAUUGGGAAGUAACUAGAAUAUGUAGUGUAGCGGUGAAAUGCUUAGAUAUUACAUGGAAUACCGAUUGCGAAGGCAGGUUACUACCAAUACAUUGACGCUGAUGGACGAAAGCGUGGGUAGCGAACAGGAUUAGAUACCCUGGUAGUCCACGCCGU
rnacentral:rRNA from 1 species